rnacentral:sRNA from 1 species
UGCCUAAGUUCUAAUAGGAUAUGGCAUAAGCAACCGUUCAGAGUAUCAAGCUCCUCGUCAGAGCACUCUGAACGGUCAUAUCCCGAAAGGGGUAUGGGUAGCGAAAGCUAUC